rnacentral:rRNA from 1 species
GGCGGGUGCUACACAUGCAGUCGCGCGAGAAAGCCCCAUCGGGGGUAAGUAAAGCGGCGGACGGGUGAGUAACGCGUGGACAACCUACCCUGGGGUUGGGGAUAACCCUGCGAAAGCGGGGCUAAUACCGAAUACGCUGUUUUUUUCCUGGGUGAUUUGUUUCACCGAGGUAAGAAGCGGGAAAGGUGGCCUCUGAUGCAAGCUACCGCCCUGGGAUGGGUUCGCGUCCCAUUAGCUUGUUGGUGGGGUAACGGCCUACCAAGGCGACGAUGGGUAGCCGGCCUGAGAGGGUGAUCGGCCACACUGGGACUGGAACACGGCCCAGACUCCUACGGGAGGCAGCAGUGGGGAAUCUUGGGCAAUGGGCGCAAGCCUGACCCAGCGACGCCGCGUGUGGGAAGAAGGCCUUCGGGUCGUAAACCACUGUCAGGAGGGAAGAAAAGCAGUUACCGAACAGGUAGCUGUAUUGACGGUACCUCCAGAGGAAGCACCGGCCAACUCCGUGCCAGCAGCCGCGGUAAUACGGAGGGUGCAAGCGUUAUUCGGAAUCACUGGGUUUAAAGGGUGCGCAGGCGGAAUAAUAAGUCAGGGGUGAAAAUUCUCAGCUUAACUGAGGACUUGCCUUUGAUACUGUUAUUCUUGAGUACAGUUGAAGUGGGCGGAAUAUAGCAUGUAGCGGUGAAAUGCAUAGAUAUGCUAUAGAACACCAAUUGCGAAGGCAGCUCACUAAACUGUAACUGACGCUGAGGCACGAAAGCUUGGAUAGCAAACAGGAUUAGAUACCCUGGUAGUCCAGGCUGUAAACGAUGAACACUCGCUGUUGGCGAUACAGAGUCAGUGGCAGAGCGAAAGUGUUAAGUGUUCCACCUGGGAAGUACGAUCGCAAGGUUGAAACUCAAAGGAAUUGACGGGGGCCCGCACAAGCGGAGGAGCAUGUGGUUUAAUUCGAUGAUACGCCAGGAACCUUACCUGGGCUUAAAUGCAAAACGCUU